rnacentral:rRNA from 1 species
UUAAAUUGAAGAGUUUGAUCAUGGCUCAGAUUGAACGCUGGCGGCAGGCCUAACACAUGCAAGUCGAACGGUAACAGGAAACAGCUUGCUGUUUCGCUGACGAGUGGCGGACGGGUGAGUAAUGUCUGGGAAACUGCCUGAUGGAGGGGGAUAACUACUGGAAACGGUAGCUAAUACCGCAUAACGUCGCAAGACCAAAGAGGGGGACCUUCGGGCCUCUUGCCAUCGGAUGUGCCCAGAUGGGAUUAGCUAGUAGGUGGGGUAACGGCUCACCUAGGCGACGAUCCCUAGCUGGUCUGAGAGGAUGACCAGCCACACUGGAACUGAGACACGGUCCAGACUCCUACGGGAGGCAGCAGUGGGGAAUAUUGCACAAUGGGCGCAAGCCUGAUGCAGCCAUGCCGCGUGUAUGAAGAAGGCCUUCGGGUUGUAAAGUACUUUCAGCGGGGAGGAAGGGAGUAAAGUUAAUACCUUUGCUCAUUGACGUUACCCGCAGAAGAAGCACCGGCUAACUCCGUGCCAGCAGCCGCGGUAAUACGGAGGGUGCAAGCGUUAAUCGGAAUUACUGGGCGUAAAGCGCACGCAGGCGGUUUGUUAAGUCAGAUGUGAAAUCCCCGGGCUCAACCUGGGAACUGCAUCUGAUACUGGCAAGCUUGAGUCUCGUAGAGGGGGGUAGAAUUCCAGGUGUAGCGGUGAAAUGCGUAGAGAUCUGGAGGAAUACCGGUGGCGAAGGCGGCCCCCUGGACGAAGACUGACGCUCAGGUGCGAAAGCGUGGGGAGCAAACAGGAUUAGAUACCCUGGUAGUCCACGCCGUAAACGAUGUCGACUUGGAGGUUGUGCCCUUGAGGCGUGACUUCCGGAGCUAACGCGUUAAGUCGACCGCCUGGGGAGUACGGCCGCAAGGUUAAAACUCAAAUGAAUUGACGGGGGCCCGCACAAGCGGUGGAGCAUGUGGUUUAAUUCGAUGCAACGCGAAGAACCUUACCUGGUCUUGACAUCCACGGAAGUUUUCAGAGAUGAGAAUGUGCCUUCGGGAACCGUGAGACAGGUGCUGCAUGGCUGUCGUCAGCUCGUGUUGUGAAAUGUUGGGUUAAGUCCCGCAACGAGCGCAACCCUUAUCCUUUGUUGCCAGCGGUCCGGCCGGGAACUCAAAGGAGACUGCCAGUGAUAAACUGGAGGAAGGUGGGGAUGACGUCAAGUCAUCAUGGCCCUUACGACCAGGGCUACACACGUGCUACAAUGGCGCAUACAAAGAGAAGCGACCUCGCGAGAGCAAGCGGACCUCAUAAAGUGCGUCGUAGUCCGGAUUGGAGUCUGCAACUCGACUCCAUGAAGUCGGAAUCGCUAGUAAUCGUGGAUCAGAAUGCCACGGUGAAUACGUUCCCGGGCCUUGUACACACCGCCCGUCACACCAUGGGAGUGGGUUGCAAAAGAAGUAGGUAGCUUAACCUUCGGGAGGGCGCUUACCACUUUGUGAUUCAUGACUGGGGUGAAGUCGUAACAAGGUAACCGUAGGGGAACCUGCGGUUGGAUCACCUCCUUACCUUAAAGAAGC